UACGUAGGGUGCGAGCGUUGUCCGGAAUUAUUGGGCGUAAAGAGCUCGUAGGCGGCCUGUCGCGUCGGAUGUGAAAGCCCGGGGCUUAACCCCGGGUCUGCAUUCGAUACGGGCAGGCUAGAGUGUGGUAGGGGAGAUCGGAAUUCCCGGUGUAGCAGUGAAAUGCGUAGAGAUCGUAAGGAAGACCAGUGGCGAAGGCGGGUCUCUGGAAAGUUCCUGACACUGAGGCACGAAGGCCAGGGGAGCAAACGGG
rnacentral:rRNA from 1 species